GACGUAGGGUGCGAGCGUUGUCCGGAUUUAUUGGGCGUAAAGAGCUCGUAGGCGGCUCGUCGCGUCGACCGUGAAAACCCGCAGCUUAACUGUGGGCUUGCGGUUGAUACGGGCGGGCUAGAGUUCGGUAGGGGGAGACUGGAAUUCCUGGUGUAGCGGUGAAAUGCGUAGAUAUCGAGAGGAACACCAGAGGUGAAGACGGGUUGCUGGGCCGACACUGACGCUGACAGCGCGAAAGCCAGGGGAGCAAACGGG
rnacentral:rRNA from 1 species